GACGAACGCUGGCGGCGUGCUUAACACAUGCAAGUCGAGCGAUGAAGCUCCUUCGGGAGUGGAUUAGCGGCGGACGGGUGAGUAACACGUGGGUAACCUGCCUCAUAGAGGGGAAUAGCCUUUCGAAAGGAAGAUUAAUACCGCAUAAGAUUGUAGCUUCGCAUGGAGCAGCAAUUAAAGGAGUAAUCCGCUAUGAGAUGGACCCGCGUCGGAUUAGCUAGGUGGUGAGGUAACGGCUCACCAAGGCGACGAUGCGUAGCCGACCUGAGAGGGUGAUCGGCCACAUUGGAACUGAGAAACGGGCCCGACUCCUACGGGAGGCAGCAGUGGGGAAUAUUGCACAAUGGGGGAAACCCUGAUGCAGCAACGCCGCGUGAGUGAUGACGGUCUUCGGAUUGUAAAGCUCUGUCUUCAGGGACGAGAAUGACGGUACCUGAGGAGGAAGCCACGGCUAACUACGUGCCAGCCGCCGCCGUAA
rnacentral:rRNA from 1 species